rnacentral:rRNA from 1 species
ACACCGGCGGCCCGAGUGGUGAUCGUGAUUAUUGGGUCUAAAGGGUCCGUAGCCGGUUUGGUCAGUCCUCCGGGAAAUCUGAUAGCUCAACUAUUAGGCUUUCGGGGGAUACUGCCAGACUUGGAACCGGGAGAGGUAAGAGGUACUACAGGGGUAGGAGUGAAAUCUUGUAAUCCCUGUGGGACCACCUGUGGCGAAGGCGGCUGACCAGAACGGGUUCGACGGUGAGGGACGAAAGCUGGGGGCGCGAACCGGAUUAGAUACCCGGGUAGUCCCAGCCGUAAACGAUGCUCGCUAGGUGUCAGGCAUGGCGCGACCGUGUCUGGUGCCGCAGGGAAGCCGUGAAGCGAGCCACCUGGGAAGUACGGCCGCAAGGCUGAAACUUAAAUGAAUUGGCGGGG